UUACGACCACAUUACGGUGAAAUACCUAUUUCCGUACUAUCACCGAAGGUAAGCAACCUCGAGCAUUGUCUGUACUUAGAUGGGUGACCGCUUGGCAAUGCCAGGUGCUGUAA